GUUCUCGCUUCGGCAGCACGCACACUAAAACUGCAACGAUGCAGAGAAGAUUAGCACGGCCCCGCACAAGGAUGACGUGCAAAUUUGUGAGGUGUUCCAUAUUUUU
rnacentral:snRNA from 1 species